UAACAGGAUUUUAUAAAAUUCACAAAGAUAUUCAAGAAAAUGUCUU
rfam:Canis lupus familiaris chromosome 13, whole genome shotgun sequence.